UGCUCUAAUAUGAGAGCUCCGGACUUUUAAUCCGUAGGUUGUGGGUUCGAGUCCCACGCGACCCACCA
rnacentral:tRNA from 1 species